rnacentral:rRNA from 1 species
CCUACGGGAGGCAGCAGUGAGGAAUAUUGGUCAAUGGGCGCGAGCCUGAACCAGCCAAGUCGCGUGAGGGAGGACGGCCCUACGGGUUGUAAACCUCUUUUGCCGGGGAGCAACGGUCGCCACGUGUGGCGUCACGGAGAGGACCCGGAGAAAAAGCAGCGGCUAACUCCGUGCCAGCAGCCGCGGUACUACGGAGGAUGCGAGCGUGAGCAGGAUUUAUUGGGUUUAAAGGGUGCGUAGGCGGAUCGGUAAGUCAGUGGUCCAAUUGCGGGGCUCAACCCCUGCCCGCCGUUGAAACUGGCGUUCUUGAGUGGGCGAGCAGUCUGCGGAAUGCGUGGUGUAGCGGU